rnacentral:rRNA from 1 species
UCCCAUAAACCCUGCCCCAGUUCGGAUAGAGGUCUGCAACUCGACCUCUUGAAGUCGGAAUCGCUAGUAAAUCGCGGGUCAGCAUACCGCGGUGAAUACGUUCUCAAGUCUUGUACUCACCGCCCGUCAAGUCAAGGAAGUUGGGAGUACCCGAAGGUCCGUCUAGAACGGGACGAAGGUAAACUCAAUGACAGGGACUAAGUCGUAACAAGGUAACCGUAA